rnacentral:rRNA from 1 species
AAAGCGCAUGUGCUGUGAGCUCGAUGAGUAGGGCGGGACACGUGGUAUCCUGUCUGAAUAUGGGGGGACCAUCCUCCAAGGCUAAAUACUCCUGACUGACCGAUAGUGAACCAGUACCGUGAGGGAAAGGCGAAAAGAACCCCGGCGAGGGGAGUGAAAAAGAACCUGAAACCGUGUACGUACAAGCAGUGGGAGCACCCUUUGGGGUGUGACUGCGUACCUUUUGUAUAAUGGGUCAGCGACUUAUAUUCUGUAGCAAGGUUAACCGAAUAGGGGAGCCGGAGGGAAACCGAGUCUUAAUUGGGCGUUAAGUUGCAGGGUAUAGACCCGAAACCCGGUGAUCUAGCCAUGGGCAGGUUGAAGGUUGGGUAACACUAACUGGAGGACCGAACCGACUAAUGUUGAAAAAUUAGCGGAUGACCUGUGGCUGGGGGUGAAAGGCCAAUCAAACCGGGAGAUAGCUGGUUCUCCCCGAAAGCUAUUUAGGUAGCGCCUCGUGAAUUCAUCUCCGGGGGUAGAGCACUGUUUCGGCUAGGGGGCCAUCCCGGCUUACCAACCCGAUGCAAACUGCGAAUACCGGAGAAUGUUAUCACGGGAGACACACGGCGGGUGCUAACGUCCGUCGUGAAGAGGGAAACAACCCAGACCGCCAGCUAAGGUCCCAAAGUCAUGGUUAAGUGGGAAACGAUGUGGGAAGGCCCAGACAGCCAGGAUGUUGGCUUAGAAGCAGCCAUCAUUUAAAGAAAGCGUAAUAGCUCACUGGUCGAGUCGGCCUGCGCGGAAGAUGUAACGGGGCUAAACCAUGCACCGAAGCUGCGGCAGCGACACUCAGGUGU